rnacentral:rRNA from 1 species
UACGUAGGCAGCGAGCGUUGUUCGGAGUUACUGGGCGUAAAGGGCGUGUAGGUGGUAGAGUAAGUCUGGCGUGAAAUUUUUCGGCUUAACCGGGAAAGGUCGUCGGAUACUGCUUAACUAGAGGACGAUAGAGGCGUGUGGAAUUCCGGGUGUAGUGGUGAAAUGCGUAGAGAUCCGGAGGAACACCAGUGGCGAAGGCGACACGCUGGGCCGUACCUGACACUGAUGCGCGACAGCAUGGGGAGCAAACAGG